rnacentral:rRNA from 1 species
AUUCCCCUAGUAACGGCGAGUGAAGAGGGAAGAGCCCAAGAUUGAAAGCUGGCGUCUUCGGCGUCCGCAUUGUAAUCUCAAGAAGUGUUUUCCGCUUCGGACCAUGCCUAAGUCCCUUGGAAAAGGGCAUCAUAGAGGGUGAUAAUCCCGUACAUGGCAUGGAGCGCCCGAGGCUUUGUGAUACGCUUUCUAAGAGUCGAGUUGUUUGGGAAUGCAGCUCMAAAUGGGUGGUAAAUGCCAUCUAAGGCUAAAUAUUGGGGAGAGACCGAUAGCGAACAAGUACAGUGAUGGAAAGAUGAAAAGAACUUKRAAARRAGAGUUAAACAGUACGUGAAAUUGCCAAAAGGGAAGGGUAGGAGGUCAGAGAUGCGUCUUGGGAUUCAGCCUUGCCAUUGGCAUGGUGUUUUUCCCAAGUUUGCAGGCCAACGUCGGUUUUGGGCACUGGAGAAGGGUGGAAGGAAUGUGGCACCUCUCGGGGUGUGUUAUAGCCUUCUACUGGAUACAGCGACCGAGACCGAGGACAGCAGCGUACUCGUAAGAGCGGGCCUUCGGGCACCUUUACGCUUAGGGCGUUGGCAUAAUGGCCCUCUACCACCCGUCUUGAAACACGGACCAAGGAGUCUAACAUGUAUGCGAGUCUUUGGGUGGCAAACCCAUCGGCGCAAUGAAAGUGAAUUCAGGUGGGAUCCGCAAGGUGCACCAUCGACCGAUCCUCACGUCUUUUAAGUCGUGGAUUUGAGUAAGAGCAUACCUGUUGGGACCCGAAAGAUGGUGAACUAUGCCUGAAUAGGGUGAAGCCAGAGGAAACUCUGGUGGAGGCUCGUAGCGGUUCUGACGUGCAAAUCGAUCGUCAAAUUUGGGUAUAGGGGCGAAAGACUAAUCGAACCAUUUUACAAUUUGCUAGGUGGUUAAGAGGUGGCUAAAAGGGCACACCUAGUGGGCGCUGAAGCUCGCGACACUGUCAAAAUGCGGGGACACCCUAAAGCUUUCAAUACCAAGCCGGCGUGGAAACACAGUCGGUGGCCGAGUUAACAACCCUGGGUACGGUAAAAACUUGAAAGAUGCUACAAUGGGCAAUCCGCAGCCAAGCUCUARGGGCGGGCGCCGUUUCGGGCGCCGGUCUAUGAGUGCAGUUCACAGACUAGAUGGCAGUGGGUUUCGUCGUUUUCAAUGUGAUAAUAAUUUAUUAUUAUUGGCGACGGGGCUUAAGAUAUAGUCGGUCCUCUCUCGAAAGGGAGCCGGAGGAAAAAAGAUCGAGGUUCUUCAGCAACAGACCUCUUUCCGGAGCCUC